rnacentral:rRNA from 1 species
CCUACGGGUGGCAGCAGUGGGGAAUAAUGCACAAUGGGGGAAACCCUGAUGCAGCGACGCCGCGUGAGUGAAGAAGUAAUUCGGGAUGUAAAGCUCUAUCAGCAGGGAAGAAAAUGACGGUACCUGACUAAGAAGCCCCGGCGAACGACGUGCCAGCAGCCGCGGUAAUACGUAGGGGGCAAGCGUUAUCCGGAUUUACUGGGUGGAAAGGGAGCGGAGGCGGCGGGGCAAGCAAGGUGUGAAAGCCGGGGGCUCAACCCCGGGACUGCAUUUGGAACUGUUCGGCUGGAGUGCAGGAGAGGCAGGCGGAAUUCCUGGUGUAGCGGUGAAAUGCGUAGAUAUUAGGAGGAACCCCAGUGGCGAAGGCGGCUUGCUGGACGGUAACUGACGUUGAGGCUCGAAAGCGUGGGGAGCAAACAGGAUUAGAUACCCCUGUAGUC